AACGAACGCUGGCGGCAUGCCUAACACAUGCAAGUCGAACGGGACCUUCGGGUCUAGUGGCGCACGGGUGCGUAACGCGUGGGGAUCUGCCCUUAGGUACGGAAUAACUCAGGGAAACUUGAGCUAAUACCGUAUAAUGACUUCGGUCCAAAGAUUUAUCGCCUAGGGAUGAACCCGCGUAGGAUUAGCUUGUUGGUGAGGUAAAGGCUCACCAAGGCGACGAUCCUUAGCUGGUCUGAGAGGAUGAUCAGCCACACUGGGACUGAGACACGGCCCAGACUCCUACGGGAGGCAGCAGUGGGGAAUAUUGGACAAUGGGCGAAAGCCUGAUCCAGCAAUGCCGCGUGAGUGAUGAAGGCCUUAGGGUUGUAAAGCUCUUUUACCCGGGAAGAUAAUGACGGUACCGGGAGGAAUAAGCCCCGGCUAACUUCGUGCCAGCCGCCGCAGUAA
rnacentral:rRNA from 1 species